UUCAACUGAACCCGGAAGUAAACAAUUUGGUGUCAACGGCUUCUCGUUCGGACGUUUUGUUCAGUCGUCACUCGCUCACAGAAUCGUUUACUCGUAUGGUGAAGGCGGGAAACUAGUUGUACAACAAAAAAGCGUAAAAACACGAGUGGACAUGUUUUUUAUGUUCAUACGGAAGUGGAGAUUCGUCGACAGCAUCCGUUUAGCUCAAACGUUAGCCCUAAUACGUGAGAGGCACACACUCGAGCUAAGCUAAAGUUAGCCUCAUAGUCCUAGCUAGUGGGGGAAUGACUCCACUACAUUAGUCUGAAAUCAGGUAUCUCCAGAUGUGUUUGUGAUGAACCUUCUAAAUACAGUCUUUAAAACGCCUCUUGGAUCAGCUAGAAGACAAAGAUACAAACAUGAUGAGCUUAUAGAAUCUGAUGCAUUGUGUACAUUAAAGCACCAACAGGAUGUGAAGGAGGGGAAACAUCACAUAUAAUAUAAAACAGUUACUGCACAAUCACUACUUUUACUUUAAGUACACUUACACUUAUUCUUCUAUGUCCGUAAGGUUUUGAAUGCUUUUGCUUGUAGUGGAGUAUUUUCACAGUGAGGUAUUAGUAGCCUAAAGUCAGACAGGCUGAUGGGACACUGUUGGUGCCUCAGGAGGUCACAGCCACGGCCGCUGAUGCAGGCGGUGAGUCAGAGGACAACGUCGCCACACCGGAGCAACGUGAAGCUGAAGAUAUAAAAGCCUCCGAGCCGGCAGGUGGAGCUGAGAAGAACCAGCAGGAAGGUGCGUCCGAACCCCGACAUCACCACUGUGAGCAUUGUGGGAAAUCCUUCGCAAGGAGGAGCAACGUCACCAGACAUCAGCAGCACAACUGCAGCACGACAAGAAGUACAUCGAGGCAGCAGGAGAUGUAUUCAUGCAACAAAUGCAGCCUGACUUUCCGGACUAAACGCCGCUUUAGGCUGCAUGUUCACAGAGAGGACAGUGAAAAUCAUGUCACGCCUGCCAGCAAUGCAAUAAGGGCUUCUAUUUGUUGCACACCCUCCGGCAGCACCUCCUCACCCACACGGGGGAGAAAUGUUUCAGCUGCGAGGUGUGCGGGAAGCAGUUUGGGAGGGAGGGCACUCUGAAGGAGCACCAGCUGACCCACACGGGGGAGAAAGCGUUUGAAUGCGAGCAAUGUGGCAAGACCUGCAGCCAGGCGGGGAGACCUCAAAAUACACAUGCUCAGUCACUCUGAGGAGAGACCGUACAGCUGUAGCCGCUGUUUGAAAAGCUUCAAGCAGCUAAACUGAAGCAGCACGAGCGGGUUCACACGGAUGAGAAACCGUACCAGUGCAAGUUGUGUCUAAAGCGGUUUAGGAUCCAGGACUCGCUGGCGGCACACCAGUACACCCACUCAGGAGAGAAACUCUUCAAGUGCACCCUGUGCCCCAAGGCCUUCAGCAUCAGGAGCAAUUUGAAGAAGCACCAGAUGAUACACACCGGGGAGAAACCAUAUCGCUGCUCACACUGCAGUAAAGGCUGCAGACACCUGCAGCACCUGAUCAUCCAUGAGCGCGGCCACACUGGCGAGAAACCAUAUAAGUGCGACAAGUGCUGGAAAAGUUACACCCAUCAGUCGGCUCUGAAAACGCACCACUCCAGUCACGAGGAGAAACCACAAUGCUGCUCCCUGUGUGGCCAGAACUUCGAUGACCUCACGCAGCUGCACAGUGAGUGUAUGCAGUGAGACGGCAGAGAAACCGCAUCGCUGCUCCCAGUGCGGCAAGUGCUUCUCCCAGGCUGUGAGCCUGAAGAAACACCGGACGAUCCACUCCGGGGAAAAACCCCACGACUGUAAAGACUGCGGGAAGCAGUUCAACAACAAGAGCAACCUCGCCAAACACGUUCGCAUUCACACAGGAGAGAAGCCUUUCAACUGUGAACUCUGCAAGAGAAGCUUCCGGCUCCUGCAGCACCUCACAAACCACCGAUUCACACACGACAAGACACGUUAGAGACUUUGGAUUUCAGAGUUUGGGCCUUUUUUGGUUGUGGCUUUGUGCGAAGAGAGCAAAUAUUUUAUUGACCGCGGUAAAAACAUUAAACUACAAAAUAUGGAUUGAAGCAGAAUAUUUUAGAAAUGAUUACAUUUAUCUUUAAAAAAACAAGGUUGACUUUUGCACCCACAGAAGGCUGAGCUCGCUGUGUGUGUGUGUGUGUGUGUGUGUGUGUGUGAGUGUGAGUGUGUGUGAGUGUGUGUGAGUGAGAGAGAGAGAAUAAUUCUGUAAAUGAUUAAUAAACCUGAAUGUAGCUUUGAACUGAACCUUUAAUUCUUCUCAGUGCGGUAAAUAAGCUGUUGCCAAAACACACGGGGGAUGUUGAUGAAUGAAAUAACCAAUAAACGACUUUAAUAACCAUAUUAGUGUUAAAACAAAACUAUACAGACGUCAAAUUUGAAAGAGUUUUAGACGCUCGGUGAAGUUAGAAAACAUGAACUUUUGGGACAUUAAUUGAUUUUUUUCUAAAGUAAAUCCCGAGUUUGUUGCUGCUUCCAGGAUUAUCUUCAUUGUGUGAUGGACGAGUUCCUGAGUUUACAUAUUGUAGCGUGUAAGUUUAUUAUAUUAUGACCUUAUUUCUGGUGUCUGAUAACUCUUGUUUCUUUCUGUGCUCAUGAAAUAAAGAAGCUAAAUGUACAAUUAUA